rnacentral:rRNA from 1 species
UACGAAGGGGGCUAGCGUUGUUCGGAAUUACUGGGCGUAAAGCGCGUGUAGGCUGUUCGGAAAGUCGGGUGUGAAAGCCCUGGGCUCAACCUAGGAAGUGCACUCGAAACUCCCGAACUGGAGUCCCGGAGAGGAAGGCGGAAUUCUCGGUGUAGAGGUGAAAUUCGUAGAUAUCGAGAGGAACAUCGGUGGCGAAGGCGGCCUUCUGGACGGUGACUGACGCUGAGACGCGAAAGCGUGGGGAGCAAACAGG